UACGUAGGGUGCGAGCGUUGUCCGGAAUUACUGGGCGUAAAGAGCUCGUAGGUGGUUUGUCGCGUUGUUCGUGAAAACUCACAGCUUAACUGUGGGCGUGCGGGCGAUACGGGCAGACUGGAGUACUGCAGGGGAGACUGGAAUUCCAGGUGUAGCGGUGAAAUGCGUAGAUAUCUGGAGGAACACCGGUGGCGAAGGCGGCAUUCUGGACCGACAUUGACGCUGAGGAGCGAAAGCCAGGGGAGCAAACGGG
rnacentral:rRNA from 1 species